UACGUAGGUGACAAGCGUUGUCCGGAUUUACUGGGCGUAAAGAGCGCGCAGGCGGUCGUUCAAGUCGAGUGUGAAAGCCCCCGGCUCAACUGGGGAGGGUCAUUCGAUACUGAUCGACUCGAAGGCAGGAGAGGGUAGUGGAAUUCCCGGUGUAGUGGUGAAAUGCGUAGAUAUCUGGAGGAACACCGGUGGCGAAGGCGGCAUCCUGGACCGGCAUUGACGCUGAGGCGCGAAAGCCAGGGGAGCAAAGCGGG
rnacentral:rRNA from 1 species